UAGCUAGUUGGUGAGGUUAAGGCUUACCAAGGCGACGAUCUGUAGCGGGUCUGAGAGGAUGAUCCGCCACACUGGAACUGAGACACGGUCCAGACUCCUACGGGAGGCAGCAGUGGGGAAUUUUGGACAAUGGGGGCAACCCUGAUCCAGCCAUGCCGCGUGAGUGAAGAAGGCCUUCGGGUUGUAAAGCUCUUUCGGCCGGGAAGAAAUCGCAUGGGCCAAUACCCUGUGUGGAUGACGGUACCGGAAUAAGAAGCACCGGCUAACUACGUGCCAGCAGCCGCGGUAAUACGUAGGGUGCGAGCGUUAAUCGGAAUUACUGGGCGUAAAGCGUGCGCAGGCGGUUUUGUAAGACAGGCGUGAAAUCCCCGGGCUUAACCUGGGAACUGCGUUUGUGACUGCAAGGCUAGAGUACGGCAGAGGGGGGUGGAAUUCCACGUGUAGCAGUGAAAUGCGUAGAGAUGUGGAGGAACACCAAUGGCGAAGGCAGCCCCCUGGGUCGAUACUGACGCUCAUGCACGAAAGCGUGGGUAGCAAACAGGAUUAGAUACCCUGGUAGUCCACGCCCUAAACUAUGUCAACUAGGUGUUGGGUGGGUAAAACCAUUUAGUACCGUAGCUAACGCGUGAAGUUGACCGCCUGGGGAGUACGGCCGCAAGGUUAAAACUCAAAGGAAUUGACGGGGACCCGCACAAGCGGUGGAUGAUGUGGAUUAAUUCGAUGCAACGCGAAAAACCUUACCUACCCUUGACAUGCCAGGAACUUGCCAGAGAUGGCUAGGUGCCCGAAAGGGAGCCUGGACACAGGUGCUGCAUGGCUGUCGUCAGCUCGUGUCGUGAGAUGUUGGGUUAAGUCCCGCAACGAGCGCAACCCUUGUCGUUAAUUGCCAUCAUUUAGUUGGGCACUUUAACGAGACUGCCGGUGACAAACCGGAGGAAGGUGGAUGACGUCAAGUCCUCAUGGCCCUUAUGGGUAGGGCUUCACACGUCAUACAAUGGUCGGUACAAAGGGUUGCCAAGCCGCGAGGCGGAGCCAAUCCCAGAAAGCCGAUCGUAGUCCGGAUUGCAGGCUGCAACUCGCCUGCAUGAAGUCGGAAUCGCUAGUAAUCGUGGAUCAGCAUGUCACGGUGAAUACGUUCCCGGGUCUUGUACACACCGCCCGUCACACCAUGGGAGCGGGUUCCGCCAGAAGUAGGUAGCCUAACCGCAAGGGGGGCGCUUACCACGGCGGGGUUCGUGACUGGGGUGAAGUCGUAACAAGGUAGCCGUAGGGGAACCUGCGGCUG
rnacentral:rRNA from 1 species